rnacentral:rRNA from 1 species
UACAGAGGUCUCAAGCGUUGUUCGGAUUCAUUGGGCGUAAAGGGAGCGUAGGUGGCGGGGCAAGUCAGGUGUGAAAUCUCGGGGCUCAACCCCGAAACUGCACUUGAUACUGCCUUGCUAGAGUACUGGAGAGGAGAUUGGAAUUUACGGUGUAGCAGUGAAAUGCGUAGAUAUCGUAAGGAAGACCAGUGGCGAAGGCGAAUCUCUGGGACGGUACUGACGCUGAGACGCGAAAGCGUGGGGAGCGAACAGG